UUUCAGAUUCAACCACUUUAAUCACGCCGCCACCAUCACCAACUGCUUAAUUUCGUCCCUAUAUGUCUUCUAGACCCUGAGACGAGGACAGAAAGCGGUUUAGAACUUAACCCGAGGGCGGGGCUCAUGACCUCUGUUCGAACUCUGAGGUUUUCCUGAAAAAUUCCGCCAUACACAGCCAAGAUCCAACUCGGCAAGCAUUUCCCUAGUUUUUCCGGCGAAACCCGUGACCUUCUAAGCCGUUUCCAGCCAACUCUAGCCACGGUUGGGAACCAAAAUGGAAAUUUGAUGUCUCCUCAGUUAAGAGUUUUUGUUUUUUUGUUUGAAAUUCUUUGUAUAUUUAUGCACAUAAAUUCAUAAGUUUGAGCUAUACUUUGGGAGUACAAGCUUGAUGGAACUCUGCUUGUGGGAAUGAUGAUUUAGUUGUGGAGCAACGAAGAUGGGAUGAACAAAGCUUUCUGAGGAAGAUGCAAUUGUGCAGUAAUGAUUAUUUUGGAGUGUUUAAAUUUAUGGAUAA
rnacentral:sRNA from 1 species